rnacentral:rRNA from 1 species
GAACGCUGGCGGCGUGCUUAACACAUGCAAGUCGAACGGAAAGGCCCUGCUUUUGUGGGGUGCUCGAGUGGCGAACGGGUGAGUAACACGUGAGUAACCUGCCCUUGACUUCGGGAUAACUUCAGGAAACUGGGGCUAAUACCGGAUAGGAGCUCCUGCUGCAUGGUGGGGGUUGGAAAGUUUCGGCGGUUGGGGAUGGACUCGCGGCUUAUCAGCUUGUUGGUGGGGUAGUGGCUUACCAAGGCUUUGACGGGUAGCCGGCCUGAGAGGGUGACCGGCCACAUUGGGACUGAGAUACGGCCCAGACUCCUACGGGAGGCAGCAGUGGGGAAUAUUGCACAAUGGGCGGAAGCCUGAUGCAGCAACGCCGCGUGCGGGAUGACGGCCUUCGGGUUGUAAACCGCUUUCGCCUGUGACGAAGCGUGAGUGACGGUAAUGGGUAAAGAAGCACCGGCUAACUACGUG